rnacentral:rRNA from 1 species
AGUGAACGCUGGCGGUAGGCCUAACACAUGCAAGUCGAACGGCAGCACAGUAAGAGCUUGCUCUUACGGGUGGCGAGUGGCGGACGGGUGAGGAAUACAUCGGAAUCUACUUUUUCGUGGGGGAUAACGUAGGGAAACUUACGCUAAUACCGCAUACGACCUACGGGUGAAAGCAGGGGAUCUUCGGACCUUGCGCGAUUGAAUGAGCCGAUGUCGGAUUAGCUAGUUGGCGGGGUAAAGGCCCACCAAGGCGACGAUCCGUAGCUGGUCUGAGAGGAUGAUCAGCCACACUGGAACUGAGACACGGUCCAGACUCCUACGGGAGGCAGCAGUGGGGAAUAUUGGACAGUGGGCGCAAGCCUGAUCCAGCCAUACCGCGUGGGUGAAGAGGCCUUCGGGUUGUAAAGCCCUUUUGUUGGGAAAGAAAAGCAGCAGGUUAAUACCCCGCUGUUCUGACGGUACCCAAAGAAUAAGCACCGGCUAACUUCGUG